UUGCUUCAGAAGCACAUUUACUAAGAUUAGAACGAUACAGGGAAGAUUAGCAUGGACUCUGCGCACGGUAACACCCAAAUUGAUGAAGUGUUCCAUAUUAAA